UGUAGUAGUAAAGUGAUUAGCUACCAUACAAGAUUCCAAUAUAAUAUGGGCAAUUCCGUCCGUGAUCAGUGAUAGCUUUCAAUUAGCUACCAGAAGAGAUAGCCAUCCUUUCAGCCGUUGUGAUAUAAAUGCAGCUGGUAGCAGAUUGAAGAGGAAGCGAAUCGAGUGAUCAACUGAGAGCUAGCCCAACAGUAUACUACUAGAAGAGAGUGGAAGAGAAGAGAAGAGAGAAGAGAUCAGGAGAGAAUUAGCCAAGGUAGAUCGGUCAAGAUCUCAAGCUAGCGGCAACUAGCUAGUAUAUAUAUAAUGGAGGAGGAGAGGCCAGGCGACUGGCGGCCGGCGGCGGAGCAGUCGGAGCCGUUGCUAGAGAAGACCACCGGCGGGGGCGGCGGUAACGGCAUCGUGUACUUGGAAGGGUGCCCCGGGUGCGCCGUGGACCGGCGGAAGGCGGAGAACCCGGGGAUCCCGUACGGGAGCUUCAUCUACAUCUGGAUCGUCACCCUUUGCACAACUUUGCCAAUAUCAUCGCUGUUCCCCUUCUUGUAUUUUAUGAUAAGAGACUUGCAUGUUGCCAAAAGAACAGAAGAUAUUGGGUUUUAUGCUGGUUUUGUAGGUGCUUCAUUUAUGUUUGGUAGAUGCUUGACUUCAACAGUUUGGGGAAUAGCAGCAGACCGUAUUGGGAGGAAGCCAAUUGUCAUGUUUGGCAUUUUCUCUGUGGUUGUCUUUAAUACUUUGUUUGGGCUUAGUGUCAGCUAUUGGAUGGCAAUAGCUACACGAUUUCUUCUUGGUGCUUUAAAUGGUUUGCUUGGACCGAUAAAGGCUUAUGCUAUUGAAGUUUGCCGGCAUGAACAUGAAGCUCUAGCGUUAUCACUUGUCAGCACAGCUUGGGGAAUAGGUCUCAUCGUUGGUCCUGCUCUAGGAGGCUACCUUGCAGUGCCUGCAGAAAAAUUUCCAAAUGUCUUUUCACCUGACUCAAUCUUUGGAAGGUUCCCAUAUUUCUUACCAUGUUUAUGCACAUCAGUCUUUGCUGCUGCUGUUCUCAUAAGCUGCAUAUGGAUGCCGGAGACUUUACACAAGCAUAAAGUUAGUGAAAAUGGAAAUCAGAGCGUUGAAGCUUUGGAGGCUCAUCUGAUUCAUCCGAAAGAAGAGGUCGAACAAAGUGGUAGUUUGGAUACUAAGAAGAGCUUAUUCAAGAAUUGGUCACUGAUGUCAUCAAUAAUUAUCUAUUGCGUCUUCUCCUUUCAUGACAUGGCUUAUACAGAGGUGUUCUCUCUGUGGGCUGAAAGUGACAAGAAGUAUGGUGGACUGAGUUUAUCAUCAGAGGAUGUAGGUCAAGUUCUUGCAGUUACAGGUGCCAGUCUUCUUGUAUAUCAAUUCUUUAUAUACCCUCGUAUUAAUAAAGUUCUCGGGCCUGUCAAGUCUUCUCGAAUUGCAGCUAUUCUGUGCAUACCUAUUCUCUUUGCCUACCCCUAUAUGACAUACCUGUCAGAACCUGGAUUAUCACUCAUUUUGAAUAUUGCAUCGGUGACAAAAAAUUAUCUUGGCGCUACCAUCAUUACGGCCACUUUCAUCCUACAAAAUAAUGCUGUGCCUCAGGACCAAAGAGGAGCUGCAAAUGGAUUAUCCAUGACAGGAAUGUCCUUUUUCAAGGCAGUCGCUCCAUCAGGGGCAGGCAUCGUGUAAGUAUACGUUGUUCCUCAUAGUUUCUUUGAGAUAUUUUUUUUUCUCAAAUAUGCAGGAGAGCUACGCAUCUUUGUAUUAAGGAGAAACGAGUUCAAGAGGUACAUGGUACACAACAACCUACAAGGUCCAAGAGCCUUAACAUCAGCAGGCUAUAUUACAUGAAAGGAAACAACAAGGGAAAAGCUCGAGAACCCAGCGGCAGUUAGAUCCCCGAGCCGAAACUAUGUAGACGAGCCCUGACAGCAGAAAGCUGCACGGCUCCAGCGUCGCACCAUCUGUUGACAUCCUCCCAAAUGAGGGCCACCAAUGAGUCAGAAGAGAUGCGACUAUUGUUGAAGACAAUAUCAUUGCGGGAUAACCAAAUUCUCCAGCUAGUCAAAAGUAUUAGGUUCUCGUGGGCACAGAAACGACAGCAUGCUUUCUUCUUUCC